GUCUUGGUCGAUUAGUGGUUAAAUCAUCUCGUUGUGGUGGUGUUUGCAAUCUGCUGGUCUUACAUACAACCGAGAAGCCGAGGGCUCGACUCCCUCCCGAGACA